rnacentral:tRNA from 1 species
AGGAACUUAGGAUAACACCAGACCAAGAGCCUUCAAAGCUCUAAGUAGAAGUGAAAAUCUUCUAGUCCCU